rnacentral:rRNA from 1 species
GACGAACGCUGGCGGCGUGCUUAACACAUGCAAGUCGAACGGAAAGGCCCUGCUUUUGUGGGGUGCUCGAGUGGCGAACGGGUGAGUAACACGUGAGUAACCUGCCCUUGACUUUGGGAUAACUUCAGGAAACUGGGGCUAAUACCGGAUAGGAGCUCCUGCUGCAUGGUGGGGGUUGGAAAGUUUCGGCGGUUGGGGAUGGACUCGCGGCUUAUCAGCUUGUUGGUGGGGUAGUGGCUUACCAAGGCUUUGACGGGUAGCCGGCCUGAGAGGGUGACCGGCCACAUUGGGACUGAGAUACGGCCCAGACUCCUACGGGAGGCAGCAGUGGGGAAUAUUGCACAAUGGGCGGAAGCCUGAUGCAGCAACGCCGCGUGCGGGAUGACGGCCUUCGGGUUGUAAACCGCUUUCGCCUGUGACGAAGCGUGAGUGACGGUAAUGGGUAAAGAAGCACCGGCUAACUACGUGCCAGCAGCCGCGGUGAUACGUAGGGUGCGAGCGUUGUCCGGAUUUAUUGGGCGUAAAGGGCUCGUAGGUGGUUGAUCGCGUCGGAAGUGUAAUCUUGGGGCUUAACCCUGAGCGUGCUUUCGAUACGGGUUGACUUGAGGAAGGUAGGGGAGAAUGGAAUCCCUGGUGGAGCGGUGGAAUGCGCAGAUAUCAGGAGGAACACCAGUGGCGAAGGCGGUUCUCUGGGCCUUUCCUGACGCUGAGGAGCGAAAGCGUGGGGAGCGAACAGGCUUAGAUACCCUGGUAGUCCACGCUGUAAACGGUGGGUACUAGGUGUGGGGUCCAUUCCACGGGUUCCGUGCCGUAGCUAACGCUUUAAGUACCCCGCCUGGGGAGUACGGCCGCGAGGCUAAAACUCAAAGGAAUUGACGGGGCCCCGCACAAGCGGCGGAGCAUGCGGAUUAAUUCGAUGCAACGCGUAGAACCUUACCUGGGUUUGACAUGGAUCGGGAGUGCUCAGAGAUGGGUGUGCCUCUUUUGGGGUCGGUUCACAGGUGGUGCAUGCCUGUCGUCAGCUCGUGUCGUGAGAUGUUGGGUUAAGUCCCGCAACGAGCGCAACCCUUGUUCACUGUUGCCAGCACGUUAUGGUGGGGACUCAGUGGAGACCGCCGGGGUCAACUCGGAGGAAGGUGGGGAUGACGUCAAGUCAUCAUGCCCCUUAUGUCCAGGGCUUCACGCAUGCUACAAUGGCUGGUACAGAGAGUGGCGAGCCUGUGAGGGUGAGCGAAUCUCGGAAAGCCGGUCUCAGUUCGGAUUGGGGUCUGCAACUCGACCUCAUGAAGUCGGAGUCGCUAGUAAUCGCAGAUCAGCAACGCUGCGGUGAAUAAGUUCCCGGGGCU